UCCCUGGUGGCUCAGAGGGUAAAGCGUCUUCCUGCAAUGCAGGAGACCCGGGUUUGAUCCCUGGAUUGGGAA
rfam:TPA: Bos taurus chromosome 20, whole genome shotgun sequence.